AUUAAGCCAAAGAAACUCACAAAAAAUCAAAUUUCGGUAAAUUUUUUCGUUUAUUUUUUUUAUAUGGAGUUUCAAUGCGAAAAUCGAAUACAGUACCGGCCUUAAGCCACAAAACAGUAUUAUAAUAAUAAACAUACAAAUUUUCAGAUGUAGAAUACGAAUCUGAGGCCACCCCAACGCCUAUAACACCACCCAUAUAGGCCAAGUCAUGGAACGGCCAACAUUGAACAUCCCCCAAAACACCCCCGAAACAGGUCGUGUUUGCCGACUAUGUUAAUAUUGGGCUCAAAUCAAAGGUAUUUGGAAGUAGACCACGAAUCUGAUAUCAAUAUUCCACCCCACGUCCCCUAGACCAACUGCGGCCAAAUAGGACGUAUUUGCUCACCAUGACAAUUUUGGGUCUUAAAGGAAAUGGAUCUCGAUAUCGAUAGUUCUUAGGACCCUAAACCGGACAUAUUUGUUGUCUUUUGCAAUAAGGGGUUUAAAUUAAAGGUAUUUGAGAUUAGGAAAUGAAUUUGGUACCCAAUUUUGAGGCCAAUGACAAUAUGGGCUUCAAAUAAAUGAUAUUUGAGAGUAGAGCAUGAUGCUGAUAUAUUUUCAGGGCUAAGUGUUUGGGGGACCACUCCACUCCCCAAAACACCCCUAAAUCGGGCUUAUUUACCAACCACGUCAAUGUUGGCUUAAAUGAAAGUUAUUGGGGAGAUGAGUACGAAAUUGAUACCCACUAUCGGGACCAUUUUUCUUGGGGUCUACCCCUUCCUUAAAACACCCCACAAACAACAAUCAUUUACUGACCAUCGCAAUAUGGGGCUCAAAUAAAGUUAUUUGGGAGAAGAAUACGAAUCUGAUAUCGAAAUGUGGGACCACGUAUUUGGGGCACCGCCCCUUUCCCAAAAUACCCCCCAAAGAGUACAAAUUAAAUUAAUGGCAAUAUAGGGUUUAUGUAAAUGGUAUUUGAUAGAAGAACACGAGGCUGAGAUUUUUUUCAAGGCCAAGUGUCUAAGGGACGUCGUGACAAUACCGAGCUGAAAUAAAGACUUAAUAAUGGAGUAUAUCCAAGACCCACACGUUAAUGACCCUAAACCCACCGAGCGAAUUCAAAGACCAAUAAAGAUCAUAUGGGCUUCAAAAAAAGGCAUUUAUAUCGUUUUACUUUUGCGAUAUACAUAUAUUAUUUUCGUAGCACGGUAUUUCACUAAAAUUUCUUUAAUUGACGAAAAUAAAUAUUCAAAGGAUAAUUUUAUUCCAUAUAAAGUAAAAGAAGCCGCAGCGGAGCGGGCCCGGUUCAGCUAGUAAGAGAGUAAAACAACCAGUUUUGAUUUUAUUCGGGAUAGUUUUGAAGGUAUGACAUAAUUUAUUCGAAAUAAAAUAAGAAGAAAUACUAAGUAGAAAUAAA